GCUGUUGCAUGUGUUGCUUCUUCUUUCUUGCAGGGUGGUUGAUGGUGGCAAAGGAGUUGGUGCGGCGCUGACGUGGGAAGAGCGACGGCGACAGGCUAGAGAUUUAGGGCUUCUAUUUCUAUUUAGGUCUUGGGUCAGACGGGCCAUUAGGUUUUUUUGGGGUUUGGGCUUGAUGUAUUUUUUGUCAAUGGACUGUUAUAUUUGGACCUUUUUAUUUUUGGUUAAAAUUUGUUUUAUC
rnacentral:lncRNA from 1 species